UACAGAGGGUGCGAGCGUUAAUCGGAAUUACUGGGCGUAAAGCGCGCGUAGACGGUUUUGUAAGUCAGAUGUGAAAUCCCUGGGCUCAACCUGGGAACUGCAUUUGAGACUGCAUGGCUAGAGUAUGGAAGAGGGAAGUGGAAUUUCCGGUGUAGCGGUGAAAUGCGUAGAUAUCGUAAGGAAGACCAGUGGCGAAGGCGGGUCUCUGGACAGUUCCUGACGCUGAGGCACGAAGGUCAGGGGAGCAAACGGG
rnacentral:rRNA from 1 species